UCAUUUUUCCCCACUCAAACAAACGCCGGUCGUGGCGCUGAAAGCACCAGCGGGAGAGUGACAGCCAUACCGUCGAGAUAAAGAGAGAAAGAGAGAAAAUGAGAAAGAAAACGAGGAAGAAAAAAGACAACGUUAAACUUAUAUAUAUUUUCUUUCAUUCUUAUUACUCUUUCUUAGUCUCUCUUUCUUUCUCUUUCUCUCUCUCUCUCUCUCUCUCUCUAUCUCUUUUUCUUUGUUUCCAAUUGUCUGCCUAUCUGUCUCUGUUUAUUUUUUGUCUACCUUGAGAACGAGAGCGAGAGAAAAAGAAGAGAGAUUCGCCUCGUCUUAGUCAGCUCCUCAUUCUUCCUCUCUUACGUUCCUUGGUAGCGAGCACGGUAGCCAUGUCGACGAAAACGUGUCCGGUGUCCUCGUCGUCGAUGAUGAUCACCGCCAUGACGGAGGAGGAAUCCUUCUCCUGACGUAAGGACAGGAAACAUAUACAAUCCUAUAACUAAUUCUCUCUCUCUCCCUCUCUCUCUCUCUCUCUCUCUUUCUCUUUCUCUUUCUCCUAUAUACGUGAUAUUAUAAUCCUUCGAAAAA